rfam:Microbacterium sp. SCN 70-200 ABS62_C0004, whole genome shotgun sequence.
CCCGCUCAUUCCAUCACUACGGAUCGUCCGGCACGUACCUGCCGGUGAAGGAGAAGAACAA